AUCCAUCUCACGUAACUACAGAUAGCCUCUUCUGAACUAAUUAUACUAGGAUUAGUUAUCGCUUAGGAGAGAAACAGACCGUUCUAGAACACAAUCCAUCUCACUGGAAAGAAGAUGCCUAAAAUAAUCAGAUGAAUUACUCCCCUAAACGUGCACAUUUCUCUCCAUUGACUGUAAAAGGAGCGCUGGGAAAAAGCUCAGAUGUUGACGUCGACACUGUAAACACCCAGUGCUGGUGAAAUGAUUCUCUGCCUGUAAAUUCAAGCCACAUACCAGUUGCUUUAAAAAGGUAUAUUUAGAAAAGCAGCAUAGGAUACCUAUAAAGCAUAUUUGCUCUUCGAUACCCUUUGCGAUCACAAGCUGAAAUGAAGGGUCAAUGUAGCCCUGCAAUUGCUGCUCUACUUCUGUUGCUGAAGAUACUGCAUCAAAACAGAGCAAAAAUAUCCCCAAGAAAACGCUAAUUAUAGCCUGUCGGUCUGAAGCAGCAGACUCCCUACAGAAGAGCCGCUUUGCAAAAUCUAAUUUAUAGCUCCAAUAUCAUGCUCGCAGUCUCCACUACAGCAGAACAGCAACACUAGAAAGCACCACUCCUUCAUUUUAUCAAAAAUUGCCAAAGGAAGCCGGGGCAAGUGGCUGGUUCGGGGACAGGGCAGAGGAUGCACGGCUCCUGAAAAAGGCUGAGCAAUACUGGUGGGGCUGCGCUACGCUGUCACAUCCCACGGGACACCAGCUCCGCAGGUGGAUCCGAUGUGGAGGCAUCCAUGCUUACAUCGGGUACAUGCUUCAGCUUAGCAAAAUGAGCACUGCACUGUCAGAAAGGGGAAGAAGCGGCGCUUGGGGCACCACUGGAGGGUGUUUAGGGUUUCCUU